UACGUAGGGGGCUAGCGUUGUCCGGAAUCAUUGGGCGUAAAGCGCGUGUAGGCGGUCCGGUAAGUCCGCUGUGAAAGUCGGGGGCUCAACCCUCGGAUGCCGGUGGAUACUGUCGGGCUUGAGUACGGAAGAGGCGAGUGGAAUUCCUGGUGUAGCGGUGAAAUGCGCAGAUAUCAGGAGGAACACCUGUGGUGUAGACAGCUUACUGGACCACUUCUGACGCUGAGACACGAAAGCGUGGGUAGCAAACAGG
rnacentral:rRNA from 1 species